UACAGAGGUCCCAAGCGUUGUUCGGAUUCACUGGGCGUAAAGGGUGCGUAGGUGGCGAGGUAAGUCGGAUGUGAAAGCUCGGAGCUCAACUCCGAAAUGGCAUUGGAAACUACCUUGCUCGAGGGUUGGAGGGGGGAUUGGAAUUCUCGGUGUAGCAGUGAAAUGCGUAGAUAUCGAGAGGAACACCAGUGGCGAAGGCGAGUCCCUGGACAACUCCUGACACUGAGGCACGAAAGCUAGGGGAGCAAACAGG
rnacentral:rRNA from 1 species